rnacentral:lncRNA from 1 species
AUUCAAACCAAACAAAACCAAAAUGUUUAAGAAAAAAAAAAAAAGUUAGAGAAAUGGUUGAAGCUCCCUUUUUAGCCUUUCUCAUUUCUGAUCCCUGCCAGCUGUCCUCAGCAAUCACCAUCCUGAAGCUGGUGGUCCCCUCUCCACCUUCCGCUGUCUGUUUUACCGUUUGGAACUGUCUCCUGGCAUCUUCUGAGCCCUGGUGGAAAGAGGCCCCAGAGGUAGACAGGAGCUACACAAUGAAAGCUCCCAAAUCCACCUUGCAAUGGGAGUAUUGACUGCUUUUGUUCCUUUCACGCUCUUAUUUUUUUUCCCCCUUUUCUACUUACACUCAUUUUUCUAGCUGAAAAUAGAAAGCCUUAUCAGAUUGGAAUAACAGUCCUUCUUGCUGUAGGUUUUUUUCCCCAAAGACUGGAUGCAUUUGGGCCUCAUCAGAAAGCCAUCUGCUCUGUGCGCAGGCCUAUUCAGAGCCAGAAAAAGAAAACGAAGGAGGGGGAAGCCCUGGCUUACGCAUUUUGAAGAGCUGAGGCUUGCCAGCCCCACCACGUCCUCCACAGAAGCUGACCAUGGGCAGUGGACUGACUGGGAAGGGAAGACGUGAGGACUUCUGCAGAGUGUGCGGUGACCUUGCACAACUCUAUUGCCAGGAAAGGAAAGAGGCUGACUGAAGAGGAAGGAAAGCUCCGAGUAGGUCCUCCAGGAACAAGAUGAAUGGUUCAUGGCUUGCUGCCCUUCCAUUGAGGCCACCCCUUCACUGUAUUUCUUGUUCCUGUGUCACACCCCACCAGUCUUAGUCCAGGUCUCUCAUGGAAAGAUGCCACAAGGUUCUCAGAGGGCACCUCAUUUAAUGCGCGGGGUGCCCUUGCUGCUUGAGGGACCACCACCCAGGCUGUGGUGGACUAGCAGACCUUCCACUAAAGGUAGCCACUCACCGCAUCCGCCAAUGUGCUCCACCCCCACCUUCAUCAAGGCACCACAGCAAAGCUAGGUGACUCAGGAAAGCCCAUCAGACCCAGAUCCAUGCGUAUUCUAAGAACAUUCAGUUUGCACUCUCUUGCCCUUCCUCCUUCUGCCAUGGGAUGAUGCAGCAAGAAGGCCCC